GAUAUGAAAAAUCUUUCCCACAUCCAGAUUCUGAACAUCUCUCCUAUAUGAAAGGACCUGCUGUGAGAUGGAACAUUUGACGCUGCCGGCUCGUGCUAGGUACAAAUCCCAGGCCAAACCGCCAUCAGUCUCCUCUGCAUCCAGUUACCGGACUCCGGAGAAGUGCUGCUGUGUUCCAGAUCUUCCCUGGCUGGAUUUCCGAACCCUGCUCUUGGACCUAUGUGUAAAUCAUGGCUAUUCUUGUCACAAUGUGUUGUAAUUUUGAUGCAAUAAAUUUAAUUACUUUGUCUCUUGUUUUAUGCCCUGGCCCUCUGUGCCAGUUACCAUAUACUUUGGCUCUCUGUUGCUGUAUGCGCUGGCCCUCCUUGUCACAAUGUGUUGUAAUUGAUUAAUGCAAUAAAUUUAAUUAUCGUCUCGUUUUAUGCCCUGGCCCUCUGCCAGUUACUCUGGCUCUCUUUGCCUGUUGCUGUAUGUGCUGGUCCUCCUUGUCACAAUGUCUUAUAGUAAUUGUUUAAUGCCAUAAAUAAAUUACUGUGUCGUUUGUCAUUUUACUCUGGCCCUCUUUGCCAGCCGCCGCUGCAUGCUCUGGCCCUCUUUGCCAGCCGCCGCUGCAUGCUCUGGCCCUCUUUGCCAGCCGCCGCUGCAUGCUCUGGCCCUCUUUGCCAGCCGCCGCUGCAUGCUCUGGCCCUCUUUGCCAGCCGCCGCUGCA